CAUUACUAUCUGCUGCACCUAAGCCAUGUUCCCCCAAAUCUGGUACCGUCACUUCAUCAUAUUCCAUCUCUGGGUGACUUGGAAGCUCCAUCCUUCAACUUUGAUGGUUAUUUCAUCUCUAUCUAUCAUUUUUGUCCCUGGAGGUCGGGGUUUCACCCCCACAAGACUGACGUAAAAUGCUUACCCAUCGAUUAGUACAAAAAACGUAAAGACUAAGGUAGAUCCGGUGUCAUGCGGCAGAAGGCUCCAACUAAUUUUUUUGGGUGAAGUUUUUUGAUAGCUAGGGCAUCUAUCUAGGUUUAGUAUAUCUCAUUUGCCUCUAUAAUGAUAAAAUACUUUAUUAAAGUGCUUGGUACUGUCUUUUACCCUCAUGGGAAUGUAUUUAUUG